CCUACGGGAGGCAGCAGUGGGGAAUAUUGCACAAUGGGGGAGACCCUGAUGCAGCGACGCCGCGUGAGUGAAGAAGUCUUUAGGUAUGUAAAGCUCUAUCAGCAGGGAAGAAAAUGACGGUACCUGAUUCAGAAGCCCCGGCUAACUACGUGCCAGCAGCCGCGGGAAUCCGUAGGGGGCCAGCGGUAUUCGGAUUUACUGGGGGUAAAGGGGGCGUAAGCGGGAGCAGAAGUCUGGAGGGAAAUGCGGGGGCUUAACCCCGUAACUGCGUUGGAAACUGGGCAGCUAGAGUGCAGGAGAGGUAAGUGGAAUGCCUAGUGUAGCGGUGAAAUGCAUAGAUAUUAGGAGGAACCCCAGUGGCGAAGGCAGCAUACUGGACUGUAACUGACGUUGAGGCACGAAAGCGUGGGGAGCAAACAGGAUUAGAUACCCUGGUAGUC
rnacentral:rRNA from 1 species